UACGGGGGGGGCAAGCGUUGUUCGGAAUCACUGGGCGUAAAGGGCGCGUAGGCGGCUUUGUAAGUCGGGGGUGAAAGCCUGUGGCUCAACCACAGAAUUGCCUUCGAUACUGCAUGGCUUGAGACCGGAAGAGGUUAGUGGAACUGCGAGUGUAGAGGUGAAAUUCGUAGAUAUUCGCAAGAACACCAGUGGCGAAGGCGGCUGACUGGUCCGGUUCUGACGUUGAGGCGCGAAAGCGUGGGGAGCAAACAGG
rnacentral:rRNA from 1 species